rnacentral:rRNA from 1 species
AUGAGUCUCGCACUACCGUCAAGUGAGCGGCAAAAAGCUCAAAAAUUUGAAAUCUGGCACCUUCGGUGCCUGUAGUUGUAAUUUGAAGAUAGUUAUCUGGGGCUUGGCUCUUGUCUAUUUUCCUUGAAAGAGGACCUCGCAAAGGGUAAAAAUCCGGUGCGUGGGGAGGC